rnacentral:rRNA from 1 species
AAAUUGAAGAGUUUGAUCAUGGCUCAGAUUGAACGCUGGCGGCAGGCCUAACACAUGCAAGUCGAACGGUAGCACAGAGGAGCUUGCUCCUUGGGUGACGAGUGGCGGACGGGUGAGUAAUGUCUGGGAAACUGCCCGAUGGAGGGGGAUAACUACUGGAAACGGUAGCUAAUACCGCAUAACGUCGCAAGACCAAAGAGGGGGACCUUCGGGCCUCUUGCCAUCGGAUGUGCCCAGAUGGGAUUAGCUAGUAGGUGGGGUAACGGCUCACCUAGGCGACGAUCCCUAGCUGGUCUGAGAGGAUGACCAGCCACACUGGAACUGAGACACGGUCCAGACUCCUACGGGAGGCAGCAGUGGGGAAUAUUGCACAAUGGGCGCAAGCCUGAUGCAGCCAUGCCGCGUGUAUGAAGAAGGCCUUCGGGUUGUAAAGUACUUUCAGCGAGGAGGAAGGUGUUGUGGUUAAUAACCGCAGC